rnacentral:ncRNA from 1 species
UGGUGGAGUGAUUUGUCUGCUUAAUUGCGAUAACGAACGAGACCUUAACCUGCUAAAUAGCCCAACCGGCUUUGGCUGGCUGCUGGCUUCUUAGAGGGACAUUCGGCUUAAGCCGACGGAAGUUUGAGGCAAUAACAGGUCUGUUAUGCCCUUAGAUGUUCUGGGCCGCACGCGCGCUACACUGACAGAGCCAACGGGUUUUUUUCCUUGACCGAAAGGUCUGGGCAAACCUAGAAACUCUGUCGUGCUGGGGAUAGAGCAUUGCAAUUAUUGCUCUUCAACGAGGAAUGCCUAGUA